AACGCGAAGAACCUUACCUGGGUUUGACAUGCACGUGAAACCCUCAUGAAAGUGGGGGCCUCCUUCGGGACACGUGCACAGGUGCUGCAUGGCUGUCGUCAGCUCGUGUCGUGAGAUGUUGGGUUAAGUCCCGCAACGAGCGCGACCCUCGUUCUAUGUUGCCAGCACGCCCUUCGGGGUGGUGGGGACUCAUAGGAGACUGCCGGGGUCAACUCGGAGGAAGGUGGGGAUGACGUCAAGUCAUCAUGCCCCUUAUGUCCAGGGCUUCACGCAUGCUACAAUGGCCGGUACAAAGGGCUGCGAUACCGCAAGGUGGAGCGAAUCCCAAAAAGCCGGUCUCAGUUCGGAUUGGGGUCUGCAACUCGACCCCAUGAAGUCGGAGUCGCUAGUAAUCGCAGAUCAGCAACGCUGCGGUGAAUACGUUCCCGGGCCUUGUACACACCG
rnacentral:rRNA from 1 species